CGUUCGCCUUCACACAGGGACGUUCGGUCUCCUUCAGUUCCAUUGUAUAUUAGCUAUGGGGGAACUGUAUGAGAUGGGGGGGAAGGCACUGGUUUAUAAAUGAAGCACAGUGGUCACGCGAUUCAGAAAAUGAGAGCAUGCAACACACCACACAGAGGACAGCGAAAGGGAGUGCGUUGCCGUGACAACCGUAUUUUGCCCACACUCACGUUCCCUUCAGAAAUGACAGCCUUUUAAAUGACCUUCAAGUCACAGAUGAGAAUUGUGUCUCACGGGAACACAAGGUACUCAUCUGAGUCGGAGUUAAAACGGAAAAUGAGACAGAAAGAUGGUUCAUAAAAGGGAAGGCGAGAAAAACUGAGUCAUAUCCUGGCCAAGAUCGUCACAAUGUGCUUGUAGAUUGUCUGGAAUCUAGGAGACGUGAUGAGAACAUGUUGUCCUUUCGAAACGAUGCGUGUAUAAUGAACUUCAACGCCGCUGUACUUCCCUCUAGUGGGUGAUGUGGUUACUUUCUUGAGAAUGAAGAUGAAGUGCUGAUUAAUUCUCCGUGGCCUCGUUGUGCCUUCGACGUCGACGAGCUCAUGAGGUGAAGAUGUGUGGAUUUGUUAUUAUCUGGACCCUCGAUUUGUUCAAGCACAAAAAUGCAGCUCCAGAUGUUUUGUAACUAAAACUAACAUGCAGUAUAGGCGGUCAUUUCAGACGGCAGUAGGAAGGAAGACUGAAAAUAGUGAUUGCAGGACAUUUUGGUCCAUGGAAUAGUAUAAACUACAAAAUACUGAGCAUCUAAAUAGGUCAAGUGUCUAUUCUGGGACUCUGCACUACAACCUAUGAAAAGCAACAGCUGCUUCUUGUUGUUGGUGGUGGACUAGUUUAUAGACAACACAGUGAUUACUGAAGUAUUGGGUCAAGUCCCAAUUCAUUCUGUUUUGUAGGUUUGGUGAAAUGCUCCGAUUAAAGAUUCCCUCAUCUAUUAUGAUUAUAUUAAUGCUGACAAAUAAUAAAAAUGUCAGAAUAAAUAAUGCCAUUUUGUUUA